rnacentral:rRNA from 1 species
UACGUAGGGUGCGAGCGUUGUCCGGAAUCAUUGGGCGUAAAGGGCGCGUAGGUGGUUCUGUAUGUCUACCGUGAAAGCAUACAGCUCAACUGUAUUUUGUCGGUAGAAACUGCAGGACUUGAGGCUGGGAGGGGCUGGUGGAAUUCCCUGUGUAGCGGUGAAAUGCGUAGAGAUGGGGGAGAACACUCGUGGCGAAGGCGGCCAGCCUAGACCAGUUCUGACACUGAGGCGCGACAGCGUGGGGAGCAAACAG